GAGUUUGAUCUUGGCUCAGGACGAACGCUGGCGGCGUGCUUAACACAUGCAAGUCGAACGGUAAGGCUCCAGCUUGCUGGGGUACACGAGUGGCGAACGGGUGAGUAACACGUGGGUGACCUGCCCUGCACUUCGGGAUAAGCCUGGGAAACUGGGUCUAAUACCGGAUAGGACCGCACCGUGAGGGUGUGGUGGGAAGUUUUUUCGGUGUGGGAUGGGCCCGCGGCCUAUCAGCUUGUUGGUGGGGUAAUGGCCUACCAAGGCGGCGACGGGUAGCCGGCCUGAGAGGGUGGACGGCCACAUUGGGACUGAGACACGGCCCAGACUCCUACGGGAGGCAGCAGUGGGGAAUAUUGCACAAUGGGCGGAAGCCUGAUGCAGCGACGCCGCGUGGGGGAUGACGGCCUUCGGGUUGUCGAAACUACCUUUCUACCA
rnacentral:rRNA from 1 species